rnacentral:rRNA from 1 species
UCCUACCGGAGGUGGGGGUGCGGUAUCUUAGGUGAGGCAGCAGUGGGGAAUCUUAGACAAUGGGGGCAAGCCUGAUCUAGCCAUGCCGCGUGAGCGAUGAAGGCCUUAGGGUUGUAAAGCUCUUUCAUGGGGGAAGAUAAGGACGGUCCCCUAAUGAAAAAGGCCGGACCCCG